UACGUAGGGUGCUAGCGUUGUCCGGAUUUAUUGGGCGUAAAGAGCUCGUAGGCGGUUUGUCGCGUCGGCCGUGAAAUCUCCACGCUUAACGUGGAGCGUGCGGUCGAUACGGGCAGACUUGAGUUCGGUAGGGGAGACUGGAAUUCCUGGUGUAGCGGUGAAAUGCGCAGAUAUCAGGAGGAACACCGGUGGCGAAGGCGGGUCUCUGGGCCGAUACUGACGCUGAGGAGCGAAAGCGUGGGGAGCGAACAGG
rnacentral:rRNA from 1 species